UACGUAGGGGGCAAGCGUUAAUCGGAAUUACUGGGCGUAAAGUGUGCGCAGGCGGCAGAGCAAGUCGAGUGUGAAAGCCCCGAGCUUAACUUGGGAAUUGCGCUCGAAACUACUUUGCUGGAGUGUGGCAGAGGAAGGUGGAAUUCCAGGUGUAGCGGUGAAAUGCGUAGAGAUCUGGAGGAACACCGAUGGCGAAGGCAGCCUUCUGGGCCAACACUGACGCUCAUGCACGAAAGCGUGGGGAGCAAACAGG
rnacentral:rRNA from 1 species